UACAGAGGUGGCAAGCGUUGUUCGGAAUUACUGGGCGUAAAGGGCGCGUAGGCGGCCAUCUAAGUCAGACGUGAAAUCCCCCGGCUUAACCUGGGAACUGCGUCUGAUACUGGAAGGCUUGAGUAUGGGAGAGGGGUGUAGAAUUCCAGGUGUAGCGGUGAAAUGCGUAGAUAUCAGGAGGAACACCUGUGGUGUAGACAGCUUACUGGACCAUUUCUGACGCUGAGACACGAAAGCGUGGGUAGCAAACAGG
rnacentral:rRNA from 1 species